GACAGAGGGUGCAAACGUUGCUCGGAAUUAUUGGGCGUAAAGAGCUCGUAGGCGGUUUGUCGCGUCUGCUGUGAAAACUCGGGGCUUAACUCCGGGCCUGCAGUGGGUACGGGCAGACUAGAGUGCGGUAGGGGAGACUGGAAUUCCUGGUGUAGCGGUGAAAUGCGCAGAUAUCAGGAGGAAUACCGAUGGCGAAGGCAGGUCUCUGGGCUGACACUGACGCUCAUGCACGAAAGCGUGGGGAGCAAACAGG
rnacentral:rRNA from 1 species